GUCCCUUCAAGGACAUCUAUUUAAAUUGGAAUGACACAGAAAAGAUUAGUACAACUAUUACACAAUGAUUACAUGGAUAAAUCAAGAACUGGUCUUCCUAUUG